rnacentral:rRNA from 1 species
UACGUAGGCGGUUUGUUAAGUUAGAUGUGAAAGUUUGCAGCUCAACUGUAAAAAGUGCAUUUAAAACUGGCAGACUUGAGUCUCGGAGAGGUAAGCGGAAUUCCUAGUGUAGCGGUGAAAUGCGUAGAGAUUAGGAAGAACACCGGUGGCGAAGGCGGCUUACUGGACGAGUACUGACGCUCAGGUACGAAAGCGUGGGGAGCAAACA